rnacentral:rRNA from 1 species
GACACGGCCCAGACUCCUACGGGAGGCAGCAGUAGGGAAUCUUCCGCAAUGGACGAAAGUCUGACGGAGCAACGCCGCGUGAGUGAUGAAGGUUUUCGGAUCGUAAAGCUCUGUUGUUAGGGAAGAACAAGUGCGAGAGUAACUGCUCGCACCUUGACGGUACCUAACCAGAAAGCCACGGCUAACUACGUGCCAGCAGCCGCGGUAAUACGUAGGUGGCAAGCGUUGUCCGGAAUUAUUGGGCGUAAAGGGCUCGCAGGCGGUUUCUUAAGUCUGAUGUGAAAGCCCCCGGCUCAACCGGGGAGGGUCAUUGGAAACUGGGAAACUUGAGUGCAGAAGAGGAGAGUGGAAUUCCACGUGUAGCGGUGAAAUGCGUAGAGAUGUGGAGGAACACCAGUGGCGAAGGCGACUCUCUGGUCUGUAACUGACGCUGAGGAGCGAAAGCGUGGGGAGCGAACAGGAUUAGAUACCCUGGUAGUCCACGCCGUAAACGAUGAGUGCUAAGUGUUAGGGGGUUUCCGCCCCUUAGUGCUGCAGCUAACGCAUUAAGCACUCCGCCUGGGGAGUACGGUCGCAAGACUGAAACUCAAAGGAAUUGACGGGGGCCCGCACAAGCGGUGGAGCAUGUGGUUUAAUUCGAAGCAACGCGAAGAACCUUACCAGGUCUUGACAUCCUCUGACAACCCUAGAGAUAGGGCUUUCCCUUCGGGGACAGAGUGACAGGUGGUGCAUGGUUGUCGUCAGCUCGUGUCGUGAGAUGUUGGGUUAAGUCCCGCAACGAGCGCAACCCUUGAUCUUAGUUGCCAGCAUUCAGUUGGGCACUCUAAGGUGACUGCCGGUGACAAACCGGAGGAAGGUGGGGAUGACGUCAAAU